rnacentral:lncRNA from 1 species
AAGGGCUGGGGAUGUGGCUCAGUGGUUAAGUGCCCCUGGGUUCAAACCCCGAUACACACACACACACACACACAGACAAACACACAGAGCAUUAGGCACUUAAUAAAUACUUAACAGAUUUCCCUGUCUUUCAGAACAGAUAGAAAGAUGAAGUUUCCCAAGAAAUGCUGGAGUUGUGGAUGGCCUCUACUAUAAUAACUAUAACAAUUGGGCCAAAAUAAGCCCAGGACCAUGACAUUGACCGCAGAUCAGGCAGUAGUCCCUGCACUCGGAUGUGGUGCAUUUGCUCAGGCCACCCAUCCGCCACCCUAGGGACGGACUCACCAUCAUCCCUGUCUCACAGAGGCAGAAAUGGGGAUGCAGGAAGAUGGACCAACUCGCCCAAUACCACACAGUUCCCAAGGGCUAACACCAGGAUUUGGACCAGACCAGAGGGCCCAGAGGCAACUCUGCAGGGAGAUCUGGCAAAGAUGAGCAGGCUGGCAGGUGGUUCCAGGGACCUCCCUCCACAGCAGUGCCGGGCGCUGGACAUUCCACCACCCAGGGCCUGCUACCCCACCACCUCCGCCACAGGCCGUUCAUCCUACAAGGUGUCAAGAUGGAUGGGCCUGACAGAACCUGUCAAGGCCCGACAAGGGGCCACAUCUGAACCUGCUGAUGGAGGUCGUAAAUUUUUAUGUUCAUUAUGUUUGUUUUGUUUGGUGUAAUUAAUGAAUCUAUUAAGCUCAAUCAAGCUCUGACCUCUUU